GUGACUGCGUACCUUUUGUAUAAUGGGUCAGCGACUUAUAUUCUGUAGCAAGGUUAACCGAAUAGGGGAGCCGGAGGGAAACCGAGUCUUAAUUGGGCGUUAAGUUGCAGGGUAUAGACCCGAAACCCGGUGAUCUAGCCAUGGGCAGGUUGAAGGUUGGGUAACACUAACUGGAGGACCGAACCGACUAAUGUUGAAAAAUUAGCGGAUGACCUGUGGCUGGGGGUGAAAGGCCAAUCAAACCGGGAGAUAGCUGGUUCUCCCCGAAAGCUAUUUAGGUAGCGCCUCGUGAAUUCAUCUCCGGGGGUAGAGCACUGUUUCGGCUAGGGGGCCAUCCCGGCUUACCAACCCGAUGCAAACUGCGAAUACCGGAGAAUGUUAUCACGGGAGACACACGGCGGGUGCUAACGUCCGUCGUGAAGAGGGAAACAACCCAGACCGCCAGCUAAGGUCCCAAAGUCAUGGUUAAGUGGGAAACGAUGUGGGAAGGCCCAGACAGCCAGGAUGUUGGCUUAGAAGCAGCCAUCAUUUAAAGAAAGCGUAAUAGCUCACUGGUCGAGUCGGCCUGCGCGGAAGAUGUAACGGGGCUAAACCAUGCACCGAAGCUGCGGCAGCGAC
rnacentral:rRNA from 10 species